GACAGAGGGUGCAAACGUUGUUCGGAAUUACUGGGCGUAAGCGCGUGUAGGCGGCCCUGCAAGUCGGAUGUGAACGCCCUGGGCUUAACCUAGGAAGUGCAUUCGAAACUGGCAGGGCUUGAGUUCUGGAGAGGAAGGCGGAAGUUCUCGGUGUAGAGGUGAAAUUCGUAGAUAUCGAGAGGAACACCGGUGGCGAAGGCGGC
rnacentral:rRNA from 1 species